rnacentral:misc_RNA from 1 species
ACACCUCAACUCUCAUGGUCUGCCAUGAUGAGCUUGGACUUUGGGGGUCUUGCCGGCCUAGCGUCGGCUCCUCUCAAAUGCAUCAGCUUGCCAGUGUUUGGCGGCAUCACAGGUGUGAUAACUAUCUACGCUUGUGGUUUUCCGCCAUGUAACCUUCAGUGAUGGAGGUUCGCUGGAGCUCACAGAAGUCUCUCCUCGGCGAGGACAGCUUUUUGAAC